GAACGCUAGCUACAGGCUUAACACAUGCAAGUCGAGGGUCAGCAUGGUCUUAGCUUGCUAAGGCCGAUGGCGACCGGCGCACGGGUGAGUAACACGUAUCCAACCUGCCGUCUACUCUUGGACAGCCUUCUGAAAGGAAGAUUAAUACAAGAUGGCAUCAUGAGUCCGCAUGUUCACAUGAUUAAAGGUAUUCCGGUAGACGAUGGGGAUGCGUUCCAUUAGAUAGUAGGCGGGGUAACGGCCCACCUAGUCUUCGAUGGAUAGGGGUUCUGAGAGGAAGGUCCCCCACAUUGGAACUGAGACACGGUCCAAACUCCUACGGGAGGCAGCAGUGAGGAAUAUUGGUCAAUGGGCGAGAGCCUGAACCAGCCAAGUAGCGUGAAGGAUGACUGCCCUAUGGGUUGUAAACUUCUUUUAUAAAGGAAUAAAGUCGGGUAUGCAUACCCGUUUGCAUGUACUUUAUGAAUAAGGAUCGGCUAACUCCGUGCCAGCAGCCGCGGUAAUACGGAGGAUCCGAGCGUUAUCCGGAUUUAUUGGGUUUAAGGGAGCGUAGAUGGAUGUUUAAGUCAGUUGUGAAAGUUUGCGGCUCAACCGUAAAAUUGCAGUUGAUACUGGAUAUCUUGAGUGCAGUUGAGGCAGGCGGAAUUCGUGGUGUAGCGGUGAAAUGCUUAGAUAUCACGAAGAACUCCGAUUGCGAAGGCAGCCUGCUAAGCUGCAACUGACAUUGAGGCUCGAAAGUGUGGGUAUCAAACAGGAUUAGAUACCCUGGUAGUCCACACGGUAAACGAUGAAUACUCGCUGUUUGCGAUAUACAGCAAGCGGCCAAGCGAAAGCGUUAAGUAUUCCACCUGGGGAGUACGCCGGCAACGGUGAAACUCAAAGGAAUUGACGGGGGCCCGCACAAGCGGAGGAACAUGUGGUUUAAUUCGAUGAUACGCGAGGAACCUUACCCGGGCUUAAAUUGCAGAUGAAUUACGGUGAAAGCCGUAAGCCGCAAGGCAUCUGUGAAGGUGCUGCAUGGUUGUCGUCAGCUCGUGCCGUGAGGUGUCGGCUUAAGUGCCAUAACGAGCGCAACCCUUGUUGUCAGUUACUAACAGGUUCCGCUGAGGACUCUGACAAGACUGCCAUCGUAAGAUGUGAGGAAGGUGGGGAUGACGUCAAAUCAGCACGGCCCUUACGUCCGGGGCUACACACGUGUUACAAUGGGGGGUACAGAGGGCCGCUACCACGCGAGUGGAUGCCAAUCCCCAAAACCUCUCUCAGUUCGGACUGGAGUCUGCAACCCGACUCCACGAAGCUGGAUUCGCUAGUAAUCGCGCAUCAGCCACGGCGCGGUGAAUACGUUCCCGGGCCUUGUACACACCGCCCGUCAAGCCAUGGGAGCCGGGGGUACCUGAAGUCCGUAACCGCGAGGAUCGGCCUAGGGUA
rnacentral:rRNA from 1 species